rnacentral:tRNA from 1 species
GGUUCCAUGGUGCAAUGGUGAGCACUCUGGACUCUGGAUCCAGAGAAUCAACCCAGAACAAAUAUGUACAGAUGAAAUUACUGGUGAAAACGUGAUUUGUUGGCUAUUUGAGACCU